CUUUUUUUUGCCUUUUUUUUUUUUUUUUUUGAUCUGUAGUUUAAAACAUCUCUCCAAAUCUGAUAGAUGGAAAAGAUUUCACUUUUAAAUGUAUACCUAUAUCAGGAUUUUAUUUUGAGGUGUACAUUUAACAUUCUGAGUGUGUUAUACAAAUUCUACCACCUUAAAUUCUAGUUUUACAGUGUAGGUGCCUAGGCUUGAAAAUUAUCUGUAUUUAUUUGUUCACUGAAAAACAACCAACUACAUAAAACAAAUGAAAAUACUCAUUUCUGAGUAUCUGUUAAAAGCAUCUGUCAGUUAUUGAAUCUCAUCUAUGAAGGAGGGUAGGCUGUGGCUCUUGCAACAGGAAACAUGUUGAUAGAAAGGGAAAAAUGCACUGAGGAAAGAGGAAACCUAGUUUAGGGGAGCUGUUACAUGGGCAAACUGAUAGCAACAGUACAGUGUAACACAAUUCCUUCCUCUAGUCUUAUAACUGAAUGACUCUUAAUGUGCGGUUUGUCAAAAUGCACUGACAGCUACUGCUGGACUAGCUUAAAUCCCAACAAGGCACGAGUCCCAGUAUGCAGAGUAAUGCACAAAUUCAUAGAGUAGCCCUGUAUCCCAAGGGUUUUCUACUCGGGUUUACACAAGUGUAAGAGGGACACGUUAAUGGAGAAUGAAAGGACUAUUAAUAGAAUAAUAUUCUUUGGAUGGAAAUUGGUAUGAAAUUCAUAAUGAACUUUUACUGAUCACUCUUGAAAGCUACCUCUUAUAGCUAAGCUUCCUGUCUCUUUCCCUAAUGAAUAUCUUUUUUUUUUUUUUUGUCUAUUUGCAGCUUUAACCAAUAGUAAAUGUGGGAGGAUACAGUUCAAGUCACCAUCUGAAGUUUUGUGGAAGUAUCAGUUAAAUUUAACCAUUUUCAAGAAGAUGAAUAAAGAAAAUACACUGCUGAUAGAAAAAACUGGCUUGAAACUACUCACAGAAAUAAGAAACAGCAACAUUUGUAUUUUUGGUGAAAGGAAAUAACUUUUGAAAUAGGAGACAGGCUGCCAUUUUGAUACAAGGAAUGAGAGUUUUGUUUUGCCAUGAAAGUUUACUCAAACUUAAUACAAGUUACAUACAUUUAAAAUACAUGAAUGACCCAUUCUGUUGGAAAAUUCUGAGAUAUAACGUCAUUUUUUACUAAAUGUAAUUGGUCAAGUCUGACUUUUAGUUAUUUCUAUUCUAAGUUAAUUAUGAAAAGAAAAAUAAUAAUGUUCUGCCACUUAGUGAAAAGUUCUGCUCUUUUAAUGCUACUUUAACUCAGUUGUUUAGUCCUUCCAUAAGUGGCAAUGUUCGUAAAAUAGAUAUAACUAUUUACAUUUUUCUCAACAUCAUAACAAAUAUGGGUAUCUUUUAAGUAUAACUCAAUUCUAUUUCUUUUUCUACAAAACUGCAAAAUUUGAUGUCGAGUUCUAAAAUUCAAAAUGACACAAUGAUCAUACAUAACAAGCAUUCUAAAUGUAUUGUGCAGCAUAAUUACUAGAUUCUUUCUCCAUUUGUCCUUCUGCUUCCUGCUGGCCUCUGUUGCCCACCAGUGAGUUACACAUUUAAGAGGAGGAAAGAAAUCUAUUGACUGUGGAGUUGAAUUCAGUUAAUAUGCCUCACACUAGCAGGACAAUGCAUGUAACACAGCAGGCCUAAUUUGCUGUCCAUCUCUGGGUAUGAAUGUUGCCACCAAAUGUCUGCAGUCAAGUCGUUUCUGUUACACUGAAGAUCUGUGGUGUGGGAUUGUCUGCAAAAUUUAAUGACCAAAGUUCUUUAUUUGAAAAAGUACUUUCUUACAAUGACAUUCUGCUUGGGCCCCACAAGCAUGUGAAGUACUUAAAAAAGUAGAUCUACUGAAAAACAUAAAAAUGCAGCCUGUCAUAAUAUCUGAAGCACAGCAUAACCAAUGAAACCACCUUCUAAAGGAUCAGCAAAGGAGCAGCUUUGAGGCUUUUUUAUAUAAAUAUAUAUAUAUUUCCUGGGAAUAGGUUCUUCUAAUUGAUUGCCAAGUCCAUGAGAACAGUUCAGUACAUUAUUUGCUGGAAGCAGAAAGCAUGGUUGUGGUUUUGAAAGGCGAAUUCUGCUGAAUGUGCAAGGCUAACAUAAUAUUUAAAGCCAAAAGAGAAAUUCAGCAGGGGAACUUCCUUUUUCCAAUAGCUGCUACAGUAAUCAGAGACCUGUUUAAUGGCUGGUUUAUCAAAGGUGCUGCACACUCUCUGCUCUAUUAAAUACCUUGUUUUCAUAAUGCUCGUUGCUAGAAGCACUAAUCAUUCCUUUAUUUUUACUUGGACCAUUUACACUGUGAAUUCACUGUGGAGAGCAGGGGCAGAAAAAAAUCUAGAAUUUUUUGAGUUGCAUAAACCUUUUGUGAUCAUUUAUUAAGAGAGAAUGAUUUCAGCACAUCCACAUAGACCUGUAAUUUUCCUAAUUCUCUACAAUAUUCUUCAAGUUAAAACUCUUUGCUGUGAUCAUUCCAAGUUCCUUUGCUGGUUUAAUAAGGGCCAGGCAGAGGAGGAUGUGUUCUGUUUCACACCUCAGUUCACAAUGUACAAUAAAGUAGCUGCUCUUUGGGCUUGAGCAGAGCUACUCAGAAAGUAGGUAGGUUAGACAUAUUCCAGAAUGGUUCAGUCUUCUUUAAAACACAUAAGUAUAGGAGGAGAAAAUAAACAUCUGUGUUUUCAAGGAUAGUUGAUGGAGUGGAGUCAUUUUAGAACAUAUAAUUAUAUGAUGAACUGCUGAUAUUAAUAAAUCGCAAGUAAAUCAGUACCCAGUUCCUAUGCCUGAAAGAGUUGAAAAAAUAAUCUACCAGGCAUUUGUGUUUCUGAUAGAAAAAGACUAUAGCUGUGCUGUUAAAAUGAAGGAUGUCUGGACUUGUGGACAACUAAAAAAGUAUUUUAACCUCUGAAAGAAAGUGGUAGCAUUUAAAUCGCAAACUGUCUGAACUCCUGACCUUUGCAUGGUUCUAUUAGCUAAAGUGCUGGCUGGCCUAAGCCAAAAUCAUAGUAAACACCUAUAAACAGUCCAGUUUGGAUGUCUGGAGCAUCUUUCCUAUGAGGAGAGACUGAGAGAGCUGGGUCUGUUCAGCCUGGAGAAGAGAAGGCUGACAGGACAUGUUAUUUAUGUUUAUAAAUAUCUCAAGGGUGGGUGUCAAGAGGAUGGGAUCAGACACCUUUCAGUGGUGCCCAAUGACAGAAUGAGGGGCAACAGGCACAGACUGAAGCAUGGGGGUUUCCAUCUAAAUAUGCAGAGAAACUUCUUUAUUUUGAGGAUGACAGAGAUUGUGGAGUUUCCUCUGGAAAAAAAACUGCCUGGAAACAUUCCUGCGUGAUCUGCUCUGGUGAACCUGCUUUAGCUGGUGUGUUGGACUAGAUGAUCUCCAGAGGUCCCUUGUGACCCCAACCAUUCUGUGAUGCUGUGAAAUGGCCUGAGGAAACUACUGUAAACAAAAGUCUGCAGGAAAUCACUCAAAGGUCUCCCUGGAAGGAAAGAAUCCACUUGGAAGACAGCAGUUUACUCAAAAUAAAAACCUCUCAAAAUAUACACACCAAUUUCAAGUGUGUUUGGAUUUAAGGGUGUGUAAUCCUGUACUUUUAAUUCAGCUGGCAACUCGACCAAAAACAUAAGGAAAAUGUCAGUAAGCGAUUUUAACAAAUCCUGAGACUUUGUUACUAUGCACAAACUGGAGGCAUGUCUAAUCCUUUCUAAAUCCAGUCAAUUCAAAUGAAAAACAAUACAUAUAAUUAUAAGAAAUAAAGACACCUUCAAGGACACAGGUUUUGACAAAAGAGUUAUCUAAUAUUUGCAAACUAUAAUUGGUGAUGAUAAUGGUGACAAGAUGAUGAUGAUGAUGAUGAAGAAGAAGAAGAUAAUAAUAAUGAAAGAAAACUUCAUUAUGUAAGAAGCUUUUCAGUACCCCUGGGAUGUUUGAGUGGGUAAAAUGCCAGCACUAAGAAAUAACUACAAUACAUUCAAGAAAACAAGCAAUCUCACUAACAAAACAACAACCACAAAUCCCAAGAUCUGAGUGUCUUUUGCUUUGUGGCAUAUAACAGUAAAAUGAUGACCAACGAAAUUAUAUUCCUCUUACUCAUCAUUUGUAUAGCAUAAACCAUGAAAAUGUAGCAUUUAACAAAACUACUUGCACUACUGCAGUCUGAGGAUGGUGUUCCUGAUGGUACCAGCACUGGAAACAAUGCCAUUAAAAACUGUUUGUCUCCUAUGGUCAUUGUUCCUAUAGUUAUGUGAGCUGCCUGAAGCCUGAGGUCAAAUUUUAGCAGUGAAUUUAGAGACAAAAUUCCUGGGCUAAACCAGGAAGUAAAACUGUCUUAGGAUUGUUAAAGAAAGACAAAUUGAGAAGCAUAUUGUCUUUUAUUUUUAAGUCAUUACAGAAAAAGUAAAUACCUUGGAAGCCAAAUAAAGAAGGGCGGAAAGUAGGCUGAUGAUUGUGAAUGAUUUAAUAGUGAGUUACAUAAAAUGCUGAGAACAUACUCAUAGAACUAUUAAAGUAAAAGCAGGAUUAUUGCUAGCUGCAUUUUUAUCUCUAGUGGCUGAAUUACACUGUAUGAUUAUUAACUAGUACACGACAUAAAUCUGGCAGCUGCUACUCAACUUUACCUGACAGCAUUCAGUAUCAAAUAACAUGCUUUUCUACACUAUUUUUAAAUAUCACUAGGGAAAAAAAAAAAAAAAAAAAGUUCUGUUAGCAAAUAAUAGAAAAGGAUUAGCAAAGCUCUUUGUUUUCCAGUUCCUCAGUUGAGUCUGCACCACAAAAGAGAAACUGAAAAAAAGGAAAAGGAAAACUAGACAUGGUUAUUCCAGCACCUGUAAGAAAUAGUUUAAAUCAAGACAAAAUAGCUAUGAAGACAAAGUAGUUAUUUUUACCUAUCAAAUUUUUACAUAUCAAUUUUAACAUAUUUUACAUAUCAAAUUUGCUAUUAUGCAGAAGGAAACAACCUCUUAUCAUAGAAGCACACAAAAAAUCGGGUCAGACAGGUAAUCAAGUCAAAGAAAAUUUAUUCUAACCAAAAUCAUUCAGCAGAAAAGCAACUAGAAUACGGGUUUAUCCAAAAUCAUUCAACACUCGGACAACAUUGUAAACCAGAGGUUCAGGAUGCAGGUUGGGAUUUGCUUCCUACAUAUUCAACACAGGCUCAGGGGAUCCCCAGUCUUUGGAAUGAUGAUUCCAAAUGUGCAAUUACUCAUAACAGAAGGACUCUCAAGGGUAGCCCAGAAUACACAAUCUUUCACUAGUAAGGUGAGGACUUUCAGUCCUUGAGGAAGUUGCCUUAGGCGAAGUCCUGAUCCAAGGGGAAAGUCCUGGACUGCAGACCAAUUGGUCCAAGGAGGACCAACUCAAAAUGAGGUCUCCACCUGGCUCCAUUUAUACCCUACUUAGAUCAGAUUUGUGGUUAUAUAUGGCCAGUGAUCUAGAAACUUCUCUUGAUUGAGUUGUUUCACUUACCAAGGGCCCUGUCUGUUGACCAAUGGACAUGUAUUAAUAGAUGACCAUAGUGGUUGACCAGUCUAAAAGUUUUUGGUGUUGUCAAGGAGUGAUGGGGUGCCCGUGCCACAUCCCUACAAUAAUUAAAGUCAGAAUCUUUUUUCUUCAUCCAUUAAGUAUAGUUUAUGCAUGUAUAAUUCACAAAGAUAACCCCAGUCUCCAGUAAAAUGUUGCAUAUUAAUUUAAUGCCCUACUUUGAGGCUGAAUUUAACUUUGCAGGAUAUGGAGAAGUAAUCACAGACCACUAAUUAAUAGUUUCAUUAUCUUUUUUCCUUAUCUGUGAAGGUUUUUACAAAAUUAGCUUUUUUUUCCUCCCUUUUUUAGGGGUAGAAAUGGAUAUUUAAAUAGCUGUUUCCAGCUGCAGUUCUGUGCCCUGGUAGGACUGAACAUCUCUAAUUAGGUUUAUAUAGACCUUAGCCAAAUUGCUAGAGUAGUCUUUUCACUGUUUUCUAUGCAAAAAUGUAGGCCCCAUCAAGAUUACACAAAAUUCUGUCUCACUUAAAGCACAUUCCAUUCCACUCCUGACAGAAGUGUAUGUGCUCCAUUAACUGGGUGCUUGCUUGCCCAAGUGACUCUGUGUUCAGCAGGAGUAUUGUUAUAUCUAAUAGUAGUCUAUAUUGUUUAAAAGAAACUGUUAAUUCUAGAAAUACCCUGAAACAAAUUUAAAUAAAUAACACCGCAUGUAGCUGUUGGUCAGAUCCUAAGACUUAGCAUCAUAAGAUCUUAAUAGACCACUUCUGACUCUACUCAAAAUAGUUUGGAAAGGCCAGUUACUUCAUAUAGUAUCAUACUACCUUAAGGUUAAGAUAAUUCAAAUACUUUCAUAGAAUUAAGUGAUAAAAGUGAAUAAAAGCUGGCAUGUAAUCAGUGUGCAGUAGAAUAAUUAGUCAUAACUUCAUGUACUAUCAGUGGCCAAACUAUCCUUAUCCAGACAUUAUACUAAGCACUUUAAAAAUGAACAGGAGUAAAAGCUUUCAUUAAGGCACACCCCUGGGGCAGGGAAGGAAAUCACAUCUGCAUAGAUCCUCUGCUAAACAUAGGUGGAUGGUUGUCAUGUUUGAGAUGAACAAACAACAUAGACCAAGUUCUUCCAGGAUGAAAGUAGAUGCCUUUUAUUGCCACAAGUGCAUUUUUAUACAGCUUUACCAAUUCAUGUGUCUCUUCACUACUGGUUACAGCAGUUACAGCAGUAACAUCUCAUUGGCUAUUUUUGCUAUCAUCAAUGUUACUCUUCUAGUCCCUUCUCUCUCACAGGUACACCUUAAUAUCUCCGGAUACUCCUUUACUCCCAUCUUUCUCAUGGGUAGGCCUUAAUGUCUUCAAGGCUAAUUUCUGUUCCCAUUCCCUCCAUCAGGGAAUCCAUGGACCCACCAUAGUUCCCCACAGAUGAUAGUCCUACUCUACCUGGACACAGGACACGCAGUACUGAUUCGUUCAAAUGGUGCAUGUAGACCAGCUCUUGGCAGUGGACAAUGUUUUGUUCAUUCUCUUGUUGAUUUUUCCAACAGAAUAGCUAGUACUAAUUUUUCCUGCCUAUUGAAAUGGGACAUACUAUCCAUGUAAUCCAUCUCCUUCCUGUAUCCACACUCUUCUGAGCUUCAGGUUCUGGGUACUUCCAGCUUAAUCAGCCCCAUAUUGUUCAUUUUCACUCUCAUUGGUAAUGUCCUCAUCUUCAUUCACAGCACCCCAUUAGCUCCCGUAUUGUAUUGAUCUCCAAUCCCAUGCACAAAACAUCUUUCUCUACUGCCAACAAACUCAAUGCUUGCUGCCAGGGCAGCUGUGUGCUCCCUAGCACAGCUCUGCUGGCAUUUUGGAGCCAGCACACACCAGCACUUGCACACUCUGGUGCACUGCUGUGCUGUCUUGCUAAUGAUGGGUCCAUGGCAGAUAUGGAACAGAAAGUUUAAGAAACUACAUUGAGAUGGUGUGGGAUAAUGUUUAGUGGGGAAAACCUCUUUCUGAUCAAUAGUAAUUAGAAGACAGUGAAAAUGAGAGUUUUCCCAAAACCUUCUUUUAAAGAGAUGUAUUAAAAUCACUUUGGGUAUUCACAAUAGCUAUGAAAAAGUGAGUGGCUGACUGGAUUGUGCAGAGAUUUAGCCUUAGCGACAUACUCUGGGUGGGAAAAUUCCAUAAAGAUAACUAUGUGGUGUGUAAAAAUAGAAAUGUGUUCAUUUAUGAGAUUUGAAUUUACUAAUUAUGAGAAUCCUUGAGUGUGCCUUUGCUUUUGCAGAAUGAAUUAGAGAGACUAGAAAUUCUUGAUUUAUAUAAGUCAUUCACCAUGAUAAAUACAGAUAAAGCAGAGAGAAGCAGGUAGAAUGUAUAUAGCUAGGGCUGAUAAAUACAGGAACAUAAACUUCUAUAUGCACUUUUUCCUUACAGAGCAGUAAUGGGACCACAGCAAAAAAUAAACAAACCACGGAACAUCUGCGCUGUAGUGCCUCACUCAAAGUCUUUAACGCAAGUGAUCUUUCAGUCAUGGGGCUGUCUCUAGGAGUUCUUAACACUGAAUAUUGGGAACCAAGAUGAGGAAAACUGGGACAUUUUGCCGCUUUCCGUCAACGGGGAUUUCUGCAGACUCCCAAGGCUGUUGAAAAAUAAUGGAGAGAGGACCUACAAUAACAUUGGACAGCUCUUUCAGUACCCUGGGAUGAAUCCAUCAGGCCACAUAGACUUAGGCUCAUCCAGCUGGAGCAGCAAGUCUUGAGCAAGUUCAGAGGUGGCUGAGAGUUUAUCACUCCCAGGGCUCAUGAUUGAUGUAAAAGACAAAGGCAAAGACGACAUUAAAUGUCUCUGGUUUGUUUGGUCUCCCUAUUCAUAAUGUGACUUACCUCAUCGAGUAGUGGACCAAUGAUAUCUCUGAUCCUCCUUUUGAUAUUAACAUAUUUAAAAAUUUGCAUGACCAUAUAGCUGUUGUCAUGUCACAUAAUAUGGAAAUGCAGGUAUUCCAUUUGUACAUGGUAAUGGCAAUGCUAGACACAGAGUUGCUUUAACACUUGUGCUUUCCAUAAAUCUACCUUUAACAGCAGGAAUUGCUUCUUAUCCCUACAGUAAUGAAAUACAACUGUCAUCUUGUAAAUCCUUCUACUUAGAUUAUUUUCUCUCUAAUCCUGCUGAGCUAAUUCUUUCAACUAACGUCUACAAAAGGGUAACUAAUUGGGCUUAGUGCUUUCAUGGUGUUUGCCAUGUUCAAAACAUUAAACAAAUUUUAAUUAAUUAACAAACAUACAGAGCUAGAAACAUGCAAAUCAGUCAUCAUGGUUGUGUUUAAUAGUUUAUUAAUUAAGCUUUCAUAAUUUGGAUUUUAUCACAAGUUUGAGUCUAAAUGAAUUGAUUAAUUUUUUGAAGGAGGAUUGCAAGUGUAAUCAUAAAGAAGCAGGAAAUUGUUUCAGAAUAUUAUGAAGUCAGGUGAAAUAAUAUAAUCUGAAAAUGCUCAAAGAUUCCUACCUUAUGUGGUUGAUAUAUUUUUCUAGCUGAUGGGUCUUUCCAUGCUCCUUCAUUAUACAAUAAUGAAAACAAAAAAUACUGUUGCAUACACAACUCACAUCUGCUGUAUUCAUCUCUACAAGAUAUUUUUGAACUGAAAAAAAUAUCAUUUCUUCACCUGUAAAAUGGCACUAAGGAAUACUGACACUAAAAAAGCAAAGCAUCUCACUUAAUUUUAAAGGGUUCACUCUUUCAUCUAAGAAAAAUUUCCAUACCUCUAAAGAAAUAUAUCAACAUCUUCUCCAGUAGGCUUUCACUGUGCAUAUCAAUUAUAGUUUGUACUUCAUUGCAAUUCCUGACAGUUGACAAGCAUUUCUGCCUUGCAGAGACAGGAUGUGGCCUUUACCAAGGAUGUAGACAGCCUAGAUCUUUGAGACGAAUGAAGAGUGCUCAAAACAAAUACCUACUUCAGGAAAUCAUUCUCAAAAUAUGCCAUGAUAUUUUUGAUGGAACUUCUGGUAACUGAAUAGCAUAUUCUGCAAGAGUGAUAUUAGAAAUGUUUCUUCUCCCAUUUUCCUCUCAGGUUGGCCCACCAGGUGCAGGAGAACAUUUCUGCUGACUCAGGCAUACUAAUUUUUUUAAUGACUGGAUAAGAAUUUAGAACUUCUCCUGUGGCAUCGAAAAUCACAAUCGUGAUGUUUUCUAGAGUUUGUGGCAGUGGAAAAACAAAACAAAACAAAACAAAACAAAACAAAACAAAACUAAACUAAACUAAACUAAACUAAACUAAACUAGACUAAACUAAACUAAACUGUGUAAUCUUGGCUAGUUCAGAUGUAAACUUAGGAUAAGUGUUUUGCCAGGCAACAUGUCCAUGUUCAGUCUUUCAGAAAACAAAAAAUAUAUGACUCUAUUUUAGGAGUCUGUUUUAGAUUAUUCCUUCUAGUUUGAAGGAAUUUUAAUGGACAGGAAGUCGACAUGUACCUGUUAGGUAAUAUUGCAAAAGACUUCAUAUAUCCUUUGCUACAGAAGUGCAUUUCUGCACAGAAUAAAGCAAAAGGCCCCCAGGCUGACUCAGAUACAGAGCCAGUGAAGAUCCUUGUCAAGUAUGAUCUAAGAUUAAGUUUUGCUAUUUUAUGUUUUACUUCAGUGGCAUUGCUUCCAGCUUUGUAAUCAAGAACAGUAUGUUUUUAUCAAGAACUGCAUGGUGAAGGAAAAUAUUUGAGUUUAGUUUUAUGCUAUAGGACUUAAAGUAUACUCAGGUAAUUUUGACAGGUAUCAAAUUUACUUGUCUUCUAGAUACAGCAAAUAAACCAUAGAAUCAUAGAAUCACAGAAUAGUUUGAGUUGGAAGUGGUCUUUAAGAAUCAUCUAGUCCAAACCCCAUGCAGGGACAUCUUUCACUGGAUCAAGUUGCUCAAAGACCCAUUCACCCUGACUUUGAACAGUUCCAGAGAUGGGGAAUCCCCAAAUAAACUACUUUUGCAAAAACCUGUUUUUCAAUAUUUACACAGACAGACUAGAGGAAUUCAGAUGCAAUUAUUAGUAAGCUGUAAAUGCUGGGGCAGGAGCAAUGUUAUCAAGUACCAGGGAGUUUGUCAUCUGGAAUGGACAAAAACCAAAACUGUUAGGAAAAGCUCACAUCCUGAGGAAAAAUUCUUGAUAAAGAAAUCCAACUGAAGAAGACUAUGCUUAAUAUAUUACAAACUUAAAAUUAAUAAAAUAUACUAUGCUUAAUAUAUUAUGAACUUAACAUUAAUAAAAUAUAUCAUAGAAAAUCUGUUCAUCACUGUAAUUUAUCUCAAAACAGCAGGAGUCACCCUUGAGGGAUAUAUUUUCUUUUAUUUGAAUUUCACUGGAUUAUCAUGAAAGCUUAAUAGUGGCAUAGCCAUUGUUAAGCAGUUCUUCAUUACCUUGCUACUCUUCCAGUUCUUGAGUGACAUUAUUUGCAGCUUUUAUUUCCAAGAUACAUAAAAUUACCUCCUUGGUCUGGAGAAAGAAUUGCUGAUUGCUACUUAUAUUUGUUUUUCCCUCCUAUUCUAUAAACCUCAAAUUGUUCUUGUUGCUUAUUGUUAUUGUAAAAAGAAGUACUAUAGCAGAAAUUGAAAGUUACUUCUCUCCCCUGCGAAACGUGACUAACAUUUCUAAAUACACCUUAAUCUGUUGUUGUCUCCAUGUGAAUAAAUAGUAGCUAUAAAUCCUAUUAAAAUAGUAUUCCAUCUAAUUAUGUGGCAGGUAAUGUGAUUUUAUUCACUCUGUGUUCUUCCUCAGAAGUGCCAGACGCCUUUAUCUCCCACUCGGUGUGACAGAUUUGCAAAGAUGCAGCAUUUCCUCAAAAAGACCCAUAUUGAAUCCUGCCAAAAAAACACUGUACAAGCCAACUCCAUGAAAUCUUAGCAAUGAGCCAAUGCUAAAUGGCUUCAAGAUUUAAUUCAAAUCCUUAUAAAGCUAGUUGAACCUAGAGGACUUUUAGGUGAUUUCUAGAAUUUCUUGCUUUCAGUUGAAUGAGUGGAGGAACGUUAUUUUUUUCUAAAUACGACAAAGGUUAUAUAUGCAGUCCUUACAGAAUCUGAAUUCUCCUACCAGAGAGUAAAUAAAAAUCAAACCAAAAUGUAUUGAAUUUCAUACUUAAUCCUUACAACCACUAUAUUUCACAACAAUUUCUCAUGUAAUAUAAUCACAGUAAUUUUCUUCUGUGUUUGAGAAAACCAGGAAGAUUAUGUAAUUUUGUUAUCUCAGAAUCACAGGAGGUGUAAUUAUAAAUAAAUUAGCAUCAGGGUUAGAUAAGAUCAUGACACCUGGAAUCCCACAAAUGGAAUUCAGCAAAACAGAGGAUGUAGAAGUGGACUGUGUUUCCUGAAGCAUUUAUGUUUCACAUAAGGAGAAGAUUCAUAACCUUAAAGGCUUCUAUAUCCAUGAGGCAGAGAACUAGAAACUAAGGGCCAGACAUCCACAAGGCACAUCACCAUCUAUGAUACAGAUAUUUUUUAAGAUGACAGCCUGGUAGAAUUAUUUCAGAUCCUGGUUACUAAGCAGAGAAAAACCAUAAAAUUGCAUUCAAAGUGUAUAACUUCUUUAUUUGCAUUCCUCCACCCACCCCUCCUCUUCUCAAGUACAUUGCUCAAGAUUGAAAACAAAAAAUGUAAGUUUUGUAAACAAAAGAAUGUGGAGCAAGCAAUAAUCUUCUCCACAUAAACUUCCCCCCUAACUUCAGUAGUUCAGACAAAACAUAUCUUGAUGACAAAUGAACGCAAGCUGCUCACACAUACUUCAAUUUUUUAGCUUUAUACUUAAGCUUGGUGACAGAAGACUGGAACAGGCUGCACAGGGGGGUUGUGGAGUCUCCUCCUCUGGAGACAUUCAAAACCCACCUGGACACAUUCCUGUGUAACCUCAUCUAGGUGUUCCUGCUCCAGGGUCAGGAUUGGACUAGAUGAUCUUUUGAGGUCCCUUCCAAUCCCUAACAUUCUGUGAUUCUGUGAUUCUGUAAUUUUGCUUUGUCAAAGAGACUUCUGCAGGUUGUUAAGAUGAAUAAUCUGAUAUGUGUAUCAGUCCUACCCAAUAUUCCACUAGCUAAUCAACAUUCUGUAGUGGGUUCUUUGAGGUAAACAACAUACUGGAGGAGUUGGUGGUCUUGCGCAAGGCACACCUGCUCUUUUGGACCUUGUACUUAAGGCUUGAGAAGCCUUAAGCUUAGCAUGAGUAGCUGUCAUAUAACCAAGCCCCCAGCAUGCAACAUUAAAGAAAGGUGCUGGAAUGCCCCAGGCUGGUCAGUGCUGUGCUCUGGUAGAUGUCAAGAAAGUGCUAACAUACCGCUGUGUAAUGAGAAGAUGUAUGGUUUUGGUUGCCACACAUGACAAAAGGCACCGCAGUCUGGGAGGGAGAUUAAACCUCUCUGCAGAUGGGAUCUGCUCAGUGGGCUGUGGGAAUUCAUCUGGGGUCCAUGUGAUGAUGCAUGAAAGUGGGGUUCCCAGCAUCUGAAGAGAGUAAGAUUUACUUGCUAACUAUAUCUAUCUUCCUAUUUCUAUUAUAUUGUCAAAACAAUUUAUUGUUGUGCCUCUCUGACUGAGAUUCAGAAAGAGCCUUGCAUGCUCCGUCUCCUCAGUGCAGAGUGUCCUUGGAGUCUUCCCUUUGCUUUCCAUGGUACAGAUAACUACAACAUAGAUGGCAAAGUGGCAAAUGUGAAUCACUGUGGCUCACAAAGUAGUCAGUAAUUUACAUGUAGCCAAGCAAGCCAAAGACAGAAAUAACUACAUCCACUAUUGGUAGAAAAUGGCAGUGUUUUGCUUAGUUUAUCCUGUCUAGGCUUUCUGAUUAUGAAUAUUUAAACCUUUAGGAAGUCUUCAAACCUGAUUAGUCAGUCUUUCCUGCUUUUCAUUCUUUAUUCUCCAUUCUUCUGCCUGUUCUUCUCAAGCUGAAAUUUUGCAGUAGCCCAGUAUUGGUUUUAUGGCAAAAAUGUUUUCUACUCAAAAGCAGAAGAAAUUAUUUAUUUCUACCAGUUGUAUUUUUUUUUCCACAUAUUAGUGCCAUAAGAAAGUGUUAUGUUGUUAAACUCUUUCUAACUAUACUCAAUAAAAGGUUGCCGUUAUUUGGAUAACUUUACGAAUUAAAAUUAUUGACUUUAAUUCAUUUCAGACAAGUCAGUAUUAUAAAAGCCAGUAUCAUGGUUGACAGUAAUUAAUACUUACAUUUGCUGUUUCCUCAGAGAGUCAACAUAAUGAAUGUCUGUAGACUACCAUUUGCUAUCUUAUAAAUUGUACUUCACUUACCUCUAAAAAAACCAAUAUAUGAUUGUUAUGAUAUGUGAUGUGUACUCCAAAAAAAGUACUGAGUACAAAUAAAUUGAGAUUAUCAUCCCAGAAAUCUUAAAAUCCGUUAAAAUAAUCAAGCAAACUGCAAAGUGGUCCAAUAUCCAUAUUUAUACAUUUUUACAUAAAAAUAAAUGUUUCUCCCAAUAAGUGUUCCUUUCUGGAAUAGGAUUACAGAAGCCUCGUGGUUCAAUUAACCUUUGCGUCUAUGGAGAAUCUCAAGUCUCCAGACCAAGCACUCCAGUAUCAUUUAUUAAAGUCAUUGAAAGUGAAAAGCAGGGGGGAUGGAGCAUUCGUACAUAUUUGCAAGCCUCAGAAAUUCCAUAGUUAAUUGAGUAGUUCAUUUCUUCCUGCCUGCUCUCUAAAAUGCACCUUUCACAGAGCUAACUGUGCUAGUCUAACAUGAACAUUUCACUUCAGUCCAAUUAUUUCCUGCACAAAGAACUGUGACUUCGAAAUAGUAAGCUGGUGUAGGAGAAUAUAUUGGGAAGCCCUUAUUAUAUACCGUGUAUCAAGAUUAAUUAUUGCACUUAGCCUAAAGCCCAUCAGGUUAGUCUCCGUUAUCAUUUAAUUUUCUUCCUAGUUAUCUUUUAAUUAUCCUGUUUCCCUACUACUGCUAAUAUAUGUAGCUACUAUCCUGCAUCUUUUUCCUUUACACAGGAGAACAUGUUGCUUUUGAACUGCAGAACAGCUUGUUGCAAAUGUUGUGUAAAUGUUACCUGCAUUAGAAAAUCUUUUCUUUAAAAUCACAGAUUUCAUCAUGGUAGAAUGCCAUCAGCGCAGUAACUGAUCAAAGUAAACAGAACAUUUAAUUAGUUUAUAGAAUUGUUAUAAUCUGAAAUGUUACUCCGAUAAUUGCUUUCCUUUUUGUAUAUAUGUUUUCAUGCAUUAGGCAGAAUAUUGGUAUGUGAAGCAGUGGGGAUUGACCUUUCACUAUCCACUCAUUCCCUCCCCAGUGAUUAAAAGAAGUUAUGGGAUAAGUUCCAUAAGAGUAAAUCACACAUUCUUUGGGUUGUUAUUGAGGAGGAUAUUUUGCUUUAAUAUAUUUUAAUUUUUUCAACAGGAAAAUUAACA